rnacentral:misc_RNA from 1 species
GAAAUGCGAUAAGUAAUGUGAAUUGCAGAAUUCAGUGAAUCAUCGAAUCUUUGAACGCACAUUGCGCCCGCCAGUAUUCUGGCGGGCAUGCCUGUCCGAGCGUCAUUUCAACCAUCAAGCCCCCGGGCUUGUGUUGGGGACCUGCGGCUGCCCGCAGGCCCUGAAAACCAGUGGCGGGCUCGCUGUCACACCGAGCGUAGUAGCAAUCACCUCGCUCAGGGCGUGCUGCGGGUUCCGGCCGUUAAACAGCCUUACAAAACCCAAGGUUGACCUCGGAUCAGGUAGGGAGACCCGCUGAACUUAGGC